UGAUGAAAAUGUUCUUCACAUAUAUACGAUUGGGUUGUUAUUACACAACCUAAAAGUUGUGACCAUUUAUCACAAUCCUCUGGAGACUUCGGUGCUUUAAAAAAUGUAAGCUUUCUCGAACCCGAUCGUUUGUUAUAGCAUCCUAAGGCACCACACCGUCUCACCAUUAUUAGAUAUAGUAUUUAAAUAUAUAAAAUAUACGUCGCGAACACGUUACAAAUAAGAAUCAAUAAAAGCAAUCGACACUACUCAGUCAACGUUAUCGAACAUCAACAAACAUUUAGGUACUUGAUCACUGGCAUUUGACAUGACGGCACUGUGUAAACAUUUGCGGGCACGUGGCAGUUGGUCCGUCUUCCCAAAGAUGAUCCCCUCCAAUCACAUCUGGAUACAGAAGUUGCGCAUAAACCUGAUAAAAAAAAAUUGCAAAAAUAUUUGUAUGUACACAAUGAUGCACAAAAAUAUUUGUACAAAAAUCUGGGUAAAAGAAUAUCUGUGAAAACAUUUCGCAAAAGAAGUUACGAUAAGUGGUCAUAGUACCAUAUCUUCGACAUGUUUUCGUCACAGACUUAGAAUCCAUACGUACAGAUAUUGCAUUUUAUUAUCACCCGAGCGAGGAGAUAACGGGAGAGGUUACACUUACCGACAUGGCAAGACGAAAUCAUGGGAUUCGAGAUUGACACGUAACUUUCUUAAAUCGGCACCCCAUUCGAUAUCUGUUGUUAUUAUUAUAAGAUUAUAAUUAUAAUAUAAUUAUAUUAUAUUAUAAUCUUAUGUCAUUAUAAUUAUAAUAUAAUAUAUUAUAUUCUCACUGCUUGAGAGAAUUAUGCAGACAGAUGGUAAUAUAAGUUAUAGAAAAUAAGAUAAAAAUUGAUGACGACCAAGACAUAGAUGAUUUUUGUAAAUCAAAGUCUGGAAUUCGCGCACUGCAUUGAACAAUCCACUGUAGAAUGAUACAAAUUCUUGUGUUCAACGCUUACCGACCGGUAGCCUACUAAUCAGCUUUUUGUUCCCAGCACUUACCGACCGAUAACCUCUAAAUCGGCGUUUUACUUUGACCAGUUGCCUUCGAUUGUCACGGCAACCGAUAAUGUGUUAUCCACUAUUGAGAUGAAAGUGUUAGAUUGAAUUACUGUAAGUCUCUCGUAUUAUACAAUUUUUUACAUAUUACAUACCUUUCGCGUUGAAUAAAAUAAAAAAUAAAAUACAUCAAAUAA